rnacentral:rRNA from 1 species
UGCCAGCCGCCGCGGUAAUACGGAGGGGGUUAGCGUUGUUCGGAAUUACUGGGCGUAAAGCGCGCGUAGGCGGAUUGGAAAGUUAGAGGUGAAAUCCCAGGGCUCAACCCUGGAACUGCCUUUAAAACUCCCAGUCUUGAGUUCGAGAGAGGAAAGUGGAAUUCCGAGUGUAGGGGUGAAAUCCGUAGAUAUUCGGAGGAACACCAGUGGCGAAGGCGGCUUUCUGGACCGAUACUGACGCUGAGGCACGAAAGCUAGGGUAGCGAACGGGAUUAGAUA